CGGCCCCUUUGAACCAAAUGCCUGGCACCGGGGGCUGCCCCCGUGCCGCUCUAUAGAUAUGCGGGUUCCGUCGCCUCGUCCCUUCGCAAGGUUGGUCGUUGACAAAAAUUGUCAACCUGAAUGGCCCCUUUGAGCCAUAUGCCUGGCACCGGGGGUUGCCCCCGUGCCACUCUUUAGAUAUGCGGGUUCCGUCGGCUUCGUCCCUUCGCAAGGUUGGUCGAUGACCAAAAAUGUCCCGACAUCUUGGGUUGCCCUCGUGUCGGUCGGUCUAUGGUUGUGUGUGCAUUCGGCUUGUCCCUCCGUAAGGUUGGUCGAUCUCGAGUGGCCCCUUCGAACCAACCAUACGUUCGGCACCGGGGGUUGCCCCCGUGCCGCGCCAUGGCUGCGUGUGCCGUCGGCUUGUCCCUCCGUUUGGUUGGUGCCCCUCCCGGUUUGCUUCUCGUUUCGUGCUCGGCGGUGCUUUAGCUUGGAUUGCUCUUGACCCCUUUUGCACUCGUAUUUGUCGAGUGUGUCUGGGCGAUGCGCAUCAGGCUGAAUGUUCGCGACGGCACGUGAGUUGUUGUGUACUCCGAUGCUUUGAUGGGCACCUUGCCAUCACGCGGCCAAUUGUAUCGCCUCUGAGUCCUUUCAUCUUUGGCUUGCUCACGCUAUUUUUUCGUGGGCUGCGGGUGUUGCUUGUGCUACGUGCUA